rnacentral:rRNA from 1 species
UACGUAGGGCGCAAGCGUUGUCCGGAAUUAUUGGGCGUAAAGAGCUCGUAGGCGGUUUGUCGCGUCUGCUGUGAAAACUCGGGGCUUAACUCCGGGCCUGCAGUGGGUACGGGCAGACUAGAGUGCGGUAGGGGAGACUGGAAUUCCUGGUGUAGCGGUGAAAUGCGCAGAUAUCAGGAGGAACACCGAUGGCGAAGGCAGGUCUCUGGGCAUUAACUGACGCUGAGGAGCGAAAGCAUGGGGAGCGAACAGG